UUUCAGAUCGUAAGUUUUAAGUGUAAAGAACUGUGUGUUGUACGCUGUCGUUUUGUGAACAUUUUUGCCAGUGACUAUAUAAUCUUUUUGGAGAAGUGCACUUGAACACGGUACAUUUGGACACCGUUCAUUUGGACACAAUCAAUUGAACACCGUUUAUUUGGACACGGUUCAUUUGGACACCGUUCAUUUGGAUACCAUUUAUUUAGACACGGUUCAUUUGGACAUCAUUCAUUUAGACACGGUGCAUUUGGACAACGUUCAUUUGGAACACGGUGCAUUUGAACACCGCUUAUUUGGACACGGUGCAUUCGGACACCGUUCAUUUAGACAUGGUGCAUUUGGACACCGUUCAUUUGAACACGAUCAUUCGGACACGAUCAAUUAGACACGGUUCAUUUGGACACGGUUCAUUUGGACACCAUGUAUUUGGACACGAAUCAUCUGGACACCAUAAAAAAUACGGCCUCUGCAGUUGGACACCGUAAAAAAUGCGGCCUGUGCAGUUGGACACCGAAAUGCGCGACCUAUGCAGUUGGACACCAGAAUACGCGGCCUGUGCAGAUGGACACGAAAAUGCGCGGCCUGUGCAGUUGGACACCGAAAUGUGCGUGCAUGGGGAGGGGGGGUGCAAAGAUGGCGGAACUUUCGCUGACACCUAUUAUAAACUGUAGAACUCUUCGAGAACUAUAGAAUUUGAUGGUAAAAAUCAAUUUUUUUGGAACUUGAGGUGCUCGCGGUCAGAUUAAAAAUUUGUUUAAAAAUACUUGACCGGAACUAUUGCUAAAACCUAUCAGGAACUGUAAACUCUUCGAGAAUAUAAAAUAUCAUGGUUAAAAUUGAUUUUUUCGAAACAUAAGAUGCCAGGGAAGUCAGCAUCUUAUAUUUUCAAAAGUCAUUUUUUUUAACUAAAUCGACGGAACUAUUUCUAAAACCUAUCAGGAACUGUAGAACUAUUGCGGGUGCAAAUGGAACUGUUGAUAAAACUUCCGAUUUUUGAAAGUGAGGUGCCAACUUCACCGAGACCAAUUCCUUGCCUUAGCACAUCAGCAAAUUUGGAAUCUUUAUUAGAAGAUAAUAUUCUGUUUUAUGUAGUUAAAUCUCUACUAGACCCAUAUAAAUUAUAGCCUGUAAAUAAAAUUAACGAACAUUGUAUGACUUCUACGAAUGUAUUAAUAAAUAUUUUUAGAAUUAUA